CCUACGGGGAGCAGCAGUGAGGAAGAUUGGUCAAUGGGCGCGAGCCUGAACCAGCCAAGUAGCGUGAAGGAUGACUGCCCUACGGGUUGUAAACUUCUUUUAUAAAGGAAUAAAGUGAGGCAAGUGUGCCUUUUUGUAUGUACUUUAUGAAUAAGGAGCGGCUAACUCAGUGCCAGCAGCCGCGGUAAUACGGAGGAUCUGAGCGGUCUCCGGAUUUAUUGGGUUUAAAGGGAGCGUAUAAGGGCUGUUAAGACAGUUGUGAAAGUUUGCGGCUCAACCGUAAAAUUGCAAUUGAUACUGGCAGCCUUGUGUACAGUUGGGGUAGGCGGAAUUCGUGGUGUAGCGGUGAAAUGCUUAGAUAUCACGAAGAACUCCGAUUGCGAAGGCAGCCUACUAAACUGCCACUGACAUUGAUGCUCGAAAGUGUGGGUAUCAAACAGGAUUAGAUACCCUUGUAGUC
rnacentral:rRNA from 1 species